rnacentral:lncRNA from 1 species
AUGGAGAAGCUGGAGAGAGGGGAAGGCACAAAAUAUGAUAGAUGCAGCAUUAAACAAUAUUUCAGCAAAUGAAAUAAUGAGAUGCAUCCAUAUUGGCUUACUUUGUGUUCAAGAAAAUGUAGUUGACAGACCAACCAUGGCUACUGUUGCACUCAUGCUUAAUAGUUAUUCUCUCACUCUCUCAAUACCUUCAAAACCUGCCUAUUUUUAUGGAAGUGGAACCAGAAGCCUACAAGACAUGGAGUUAUGGGCUGGCAAUAUAGGUUCAACAACAUCGGGUGAAUCGGUGAACCACGCUUCCAAUACUGAUCCAUACCCUCGAUAGAAUUCAUUCAUAAGGGUGAAUAUAUAUUCUUUUAUGUGUAAAUCACUAAAUUGGUCUAUAAAAUUGUAAAAGUUGGUCUCUCUGAAAUUUAGGAAUAAAUAAAAACGUAGAGAUUGAAAUAUGUCAAUAUUUUAAUCAUUAAUUUGAUUUGAUUGAAUUUUUUUUCAAUAAAAUUUGUUUUAGUUUAUGAUAUGCUCUAGAUAGUGAGACCCGCGCGAUGUGUGGGGUUGGCGUAUAACUUAUUUAAGUAUUGUUAGACUAAAUAUUUAAUUAUUAAAUGCUUAGAACAUGUCAUAGCUAGUAUAGACUUUUGAAAUAAUUAAACUCAUAUCUAAAGGAUAAAGGAUAUGUCUAGGACACGCUAGGAAAAGGUGACAAUUAAGGUACCCAUGGAAGAAUGGUGUGUAAUUUACUCCAACCAAUAUACAUUAGUCACAUAAACACAUUUUUAAAUGGUAUAUAUAAACUAUUUUGACCCUACCAACAAAUUGCUUAUUUUCAUUAACCAUUCUUCAAAGGUAAUCUAGAAAAAAAAACCUUAUUAAAAACCAUUGAAACUACUCCCAUCUACAUCCACCCUUUGGAUCGGAAUCGUGAACAUUUCUCCAUAUAAUAAUACUUUUCUUUUGAAAGUGAUAUAUUGAAGAGAUCAAAGCUGUCCUUCUUUCCACGAGAAUAGUACUCGCCGCCAAUUGGAAAACCACCAACACCUAAACCUAUGCUCCCUAGUUCUUACCUUGAUAUUUCUUUUUCACAACACUUAUUUUCCAUGAUAUGGUGGGGUACUGUUUGGCCACGUUGCCUUGUUAAUUGGUUCAUCAAUAACUAUUCCAACAUUUGAAGUCAACAAUAUUAUGUUUAUUUACUAGUAAAAGUUUAUGGUCAAUCAAACUGCUCAAGAGUCUAGCACCUCACCUUUACAUAGUAUCUCUCCAAUCCAUCCCUUCACUUUUCAUUUUGAUAUUUCAAAUAUUUUGUUUUUGGCUAAUGGCUCUAUUUCCCUUUCUUUGUUAUCUUUUUUUCAUAGCUGCAUACCAUGCAAAAGCCGAUGAUGCAUUAUGUGAUAACAACAUAGGCAACUACACAUCCAAUAGCACCUAUGACAACAACCUUAAAACUCUUUUGUCCAGUCUUUCUUCUCAUACAGAAAUCAACUACGGUUUCUACAAUUUCUCAUAUGGCGAAGAACCAAACAAAGCAUAUGUCAUAGGGGUGUGUCGCGGAGAUAUUGAGCCAAAUCAGUGUCGUACAAACCUAAACAAUUCCAUUGGUUAUCUCAGAGAGCAGUGUCCAAACCAAAAAGAGGCAAUUGUGUGGGGUGGUGAUUUCACUUUGUGGUACUCGAAUCGCUCAAUUUUUGGGCUCUUGGAAACUUCACCUACACUCUAUUUGUAUUUACAACGGAAUACAAGUUAUGUGGAUCAGUACAUGCAAGCAGUGGCUAACUUGAUGCGAAAUCUAACGGCCAAAGCUGCUUUAGGUGACUCGCGUCGUAAGUACGAAGCAGAUAGUGUCUUUGAAACUACAAGUUUCGAAACCAUAUACGGUUAUGUGCUUUGUAUGCCUGAUUUGUCAUCGCAACAAUGCACCGAUUGCUUGAACGCAGCUAUCUCAGAAAUCCCAAAUUGUUGUAACGGGAAGAUGGGAGGAAAUGUUCUUAAACCAAGUUGUCGUCUUAGAUAUGAUCCUUAUCGCUUCUUCAAUUCCACGAUUGUCUUAGACUCACCACCAUCCACCAAUAACACUUCUUCAGGUACCAAAUUACCAUCAUCUCUGUCUACUUCAAGGAAAGUCUUUCCAAUAGCACUUGUAAACCGGAUCAGAACACUGGGUUACCGGGUCAAUGGUCCUAUCUGAUGACAACUGUCUUUCCAAAUUAAUAUAUUGCAUUUAGCAUUUAUGGUGAUAAUGAACUUGCAAAACAAUACUUGUUAAAUUAAUUUGAUAAAAUUACCAUCAUUUUAUUUUAUUUUUUGUGUUUCAAAAUGAUCAAAUGUGAUAUUAAUUGUGACACGAAUUUUAUCAUAGUUUUAAUCUAUUGAAUGUCACUGACGAUUUAAAUUAAUUUGUGCAGGACAAAGCAAAACUGGAACAGUCAUUGCUGUUGUAGUGCCCGUUGUUACCGUGGUUUUGGUGCUCAUUUUGAUUUGCAUCUACUUAAGAUUGAGAAAGCGAAAGCAAUUCUCCAAAGGUGUGUGUAUUUUCCUAAGAUUUCCAUCUAGCAUUAGCCUAAAACUAAAGUUUAAGAUUUUUCAUAAUAACUUGUCCAAAAAUAUUUCUUUUUAAAAUUAUUUUCAACAACCUUGUCAAAGAUGAUUUCCAUUAGUUUUACUUCAAUAAAUUAAAUCUCAUUGUUUUGCAUUUCUAUUACAUUCAUAUCAUAAACGAAAAGGUAACUUAUUCAUCUUGGUUAUUGUGUGAAGCCAAUAAUGGAGCAUAUGAGGAUGGAGAUGAAGAUGAAGAUGAAAUUACGAUUGUCGAGUCUUUGCAAUUUAACUUUGAUACCAUACGAGUUGCUACAAGUGACUUCUCCGAUUCUAAUAAACUUGGACAAGGUGGGUUCGGAGUUGUUUAUCGGGUAAGAUAACACUUUUUUUAUCAUAAAAGUUUCACCAUUUGCAAAACAUUAUUGUUGAAAUAAUACAAUUUAUUAUGCUUAAAAUUGAUAUAUUUCAGGGCAAGCUCCCUAAUGGACAAAUGAUUGCGGUCAAAAGAUUGUCCAAAGAUUCUGACCAAGGAGAUGUGGAAUUUAAAAAUGAAGUACUUUUAGUAGCCAAACUUCAACAUCGAAAUUUAGUUAGGCUACUUGGUUUCAGUUUAGAAGGGAGAGAAAAACUGCUUAUUUAUGAAUAUGUUACAAAUAAAAGUCUUGAUUACUUCAUAUUCAGUAUGUUUACCAACAUAGUUAGAUUAUCGCACAAUUACUAACAAGUGAAACAAUUUUGAAAUUCACAUGGUAUUGGUUAUAUAUGUAGAUCCAGCCAGAAGAGCACAAUUGAAUUGGGAAAAGCGCUAUGAUAUCAUAAAAUGUAUUGUUCGAGGUCUUAUUUAUCUUCAUGAGGAUUCUCGCCUCCGCAUUAUACACCGUGAUCUCAAAGCUAGCAAUAUUCUCUUAGACGACGGGAUGAAUCCUAAAAUAUCCGAUUUUGGAUUGGCGAGAUUGUUUGUUAUUGAUCAAACUCAAGGAAAUACAAGUAAAAUUGUUGGAACCUAGUAAGUUUCUAAAUAUGUAUGAGCUUACUAACUGAUGUUAAUUCGAAUCAACCAUAAGCAAGAUAAUAAUUUCACUUUGUUACUUAGUCAAUGUUCAACAAUUUAUUCAAAUGGUUUGAUGUUUUACUUGAAUCUUAUAAGAGCCAAACCUUUUAAGCACAUAUCACUUUGUAUGAUUGAUCAAUAACAUAAAAUACAUUUAAACUAGAAGAAAUAAAAAUAGAACUUCGUAUGUGGCGAUUCAAUUAUAGGAAAACUAUUAAUUUAAACUAUCAUUUUUUUUUUACUGAUUAAGCUUCUCUAUAUUGGUAUGCAGUGGAUAUAUGGCACCUGAGUAUGCAAUGCAUGGACAAUUUUCGGUAAAAUCGGAUGUCUUUAGUUUCGGAGUAUUGGUUCUUGAGAUUUUAAGUGGUCAUAAAAAUAGUACAAACAUUGGUCAAGGAAAUGAUGUAGAGUAUCUAUUGAGUUAUGUAAGUAUUAUUUUUCUCUAUAUUUUAUUUCUUGUAAUUAAAAUGUAUAGAUUAUAAUAUUUUGUGAUCCCAACAAUAUUAUCGAAAUUGAUUCAUGGGCUAAUUGCAUUUUGGUUAUCUAAACUUGAGCAAAUUAUUGCAGGCAUGGAAAUGCUGGAGGGAGGGGAAAGCACACAAUAUUAUAGAUCCAGCAUUAAACAAUAUUUCAGCAAAUGAAAUAAUGAGAUGUAUCCAUAUUGCCUUACUUUGUGUUCAAGAAAAUGUAGUUGACAGACCAACCAUGGCUGCUGUUGCACUCAUGCUUAAUAGUUAUUCUCUCACUCUCUCAAUACCUUCAAAACCUGCCUAUUUUUAUGGAAGUGGAACUAGAAGCCUACAUGACAUGGAGUUAUGGGCUGGCA